rnacentral:rRNA from 1 species
GAUGAACGCUAGCGGCAGGCUUAACACAUGCAAGUCGAGGGGCAGCACGGGUAGCAAUACCUGGUGGCGACCGGCGCAAGGGUGCGUAACGCGUGAGCAACAUGCCCUAUACAGGGGGAUAAUCCAGGGAAACUUGGUCUAAUAUCCCAUAGCAUUUAGAGGAGGCAUCUUCACUAAAUUAAAGCUUCGGUGGUAUAGGAUUGGCUCGCGUGACAUUAGCUAGAUGGUGAGGUAACGGCCCACCAUGGCUAUGAUGUCUAGGGGUUCUGAGAGGAAGACCCCCCACACUGGGACUGAGACACGGCCCAGACUCCUACGGGAGGCAGCAGUGAGGAAUAUUGGACAAUGGAUGGAAAUCUGAUCCAGCCAUGCCGCGCGCAGGAAGACGGCCCUAUGGGUUGUAAACUGCUUUUAUAUGGGAGCAAUAAGGUUUACGAGUAGACCGAUGAGAGUACCAUAUGAAUAAGCAUCGGCUAAC